rnacentral:rRNA from 1 species
UACGGAGGGUGCGAGCGUUAAUCGGAAUCACUGGGCGUAAAGCGCGCGUAGGCGGCUUUUCAGGUCAGGGGUGAAAUCCCACGGCCCAACCGUGGAACUGCCUUUGAAACUGUAGAGCUUGAGUGUCGGAGGGGCAGGCGGAAUUCCUAGUGUAGCGGUGAAAUGCGUAGAUAUUAGGAGGAACACCGGUGGCGAAGGCGGCCUGCUGGACUGUGACUGACGCUGAGGCUCGAAAGCGUGGGGAGCAAACAGG